AGCGUCGUUAAAGACCAUAAGGCUUUGCCUUGCGAUGAGCUUCUUGGUGUCUCUCUUGACGUCAGGGGCUUCAAACUGAUUGGCGUCUGAAGUUAGGCCAAGCACAGCGAUAUGUGUUCUGUGUCUAGCUGAGGAUUGCCGGUACCCAAAAUCAUUAAUUGGUCGACCUCGGAUCAGGCAAGAUUACCCGCUGAACUUAA
rnacentral:misc_RNA from 1 species